UACGGAGGGUGCAAGCGUUGUCCGGAAUUAUUGGGUUUAAAGGGCGUGUAGGUGGUUAAGUCAGUCAGAGCUGAAAUCGUUGUGCUCAACACAAUACCCGGCUUUGAUACUGCUUAACUUGAGAUAUGUAUGGGUAGGCGGAAUUCCUCAUGUAGCGGUGAAAUGCAUAGAUAUGAGGAGGAAGACCGAAGGAGAAGUCAGCUUACUGGACAUUAUCUGACACUGAGGCGCGAAAGCGUGGGGAGCGAACAGG
rnacentral:rRNA from 1 species